UGAGACACGGACCAAACUCCUACGGGAGGCAGCAGUGAGGAAUAUUGGUCAAUGGCCGAGAGGCUGAACCAGCCAAGUCGCGUGAAGGAAGAAGGAUCUAUGGUUUGUAAACUUCUUUUAUAGGGGAAUAAAGUGGAGGACGUGUCCUUUUUUGUAUGUACCCUAUGAAUAAGCAUCGGCUAACUCCGUGCCAGCAGCCGCGGUAAUACGGAGGAUGCGAGCGUUAUCCGGAUUUAUUGGGUUUAAAGGGUGCGUAGGUGGUGAUUUAAGUCAGCGGUGAAAGUUUGUGGCUCAACCAUAAAAUUGCCGUUGAAACUGGGUUACUUGAGUGUGUUUGAGGUAGGCGGAAUGCGUGGUGUAGCGGUGAAAUGCAUAGAUAUCACGCAGAACUCCGAUUGCGAAGGCAGCUUACUAAACCAUAACUGACACUGAAGCACGAAAGCGUGGGGAUCAAACAGGAUUAGAUACCCUGGUAGUCCACGCAGUAAACGAUGAUUACUAGGAGUUUGCGAUACAAUGUAAGCUCUACAGCGAAAGCGUUAAGUAAUCCACCUGGGGAGUACGCCGGCAACGGUGAAACUCAAAGGAAUUGACGGGGGCCCGCACAAGCGGAGGAACAUGUGGUUUAAUUCGAUGAUACGCGAGGAACCUUACCCGGGUUUGAACGUAGUCUGACCGGAGUGGAAACACUCUUUCUAGCAAUAGCAGAUUACGAGGUGCUGCAUGGUUGUCGUCAGCUCGUGCCGUGAGGUGUCGGCUUAAGUGCCAUAACGAGCGCAACCCUUAUCACUAGUUACUAACAGGUGAAGCUGAGGACUCUGGUGAGACUGCCAGCGUAAGCUGUGAGGAAGGUGGGGAUGACGUCAAAUCAGCACGGCCCUUACAUCCGGGGCGACACACGUGUUACAAUGGCAUGGACAAAGGGCAGCUACCUGGUGACAGGAUGCUAAUCUCCAAACCAUGUCUCAGUUCGGAUCGGAGUCUGCAACUCGACUCCGUGAAGCUGGAUUCGCUAGUAAUCGCGCAUCAGCCAUGGCGCGGUGAAUACGUUCCCGGGCC
rnacentral:rRNA from 1 species